rnacentral:rRNA from 1 species
GAUGAACGCUAGCGGCAGGCUUAAUACAUGCAAGUCGAGGGGCAGCAUGAUUGUAGCAAUACAAUUGAUGGCGACCGGCAAACGGGUGCGGAACACGUACACAACCUUCCAACAAGUGGGGGAUAGCCCAGAGAAAUUUGGAUUAAUACCCCGUAACAUAGCGAUGUGGCAUCACAUUGCUAUUAUAGAUUUUUCGCUUGUUGAUGGGUGUGCGGCUGAUUAGAUAGUUGGCGGGGUAACGGCCCACCAAGUCUACGAUCAGUAGCUGAUGUGAGAGCAUGAUCAGCCACACGGGCACUGAGACACGGGCCCGACUCCGACGGGAGGCAGCAGUAAGGAAUAUUGGACAAUGGACGCAAGUCUGAUCCAGCCAUGCCGCGUGAAGGAUUAAGGUCCUCUGGAUUGUAAACUUCUUUUAUAAGGGACGAAAAAAGGCUUUUCUAAGUCGUCUGACGGUACCUUAUGAAUAAGCACCGGCUAACUCCGUGCCAGCCGCCGCAGUAAAAC